AUUGAACGCUGGCGGCAGGCCUAACACAUGCAAGUCGAGCGGAGCGGCGGACGGGUGAGUAAUGCCUAGUAAUCUGCCUGGUAGUGGGGGAUAACGUCCGGAAACGGGCGCUAAUCCCGCAUACUAUCAGAUGAGCCUAGGUCGAAUUAGCUAGUUGGUGGGGUAAAGGCCUACCAAGGCGACGAUCCGUAACUGGUCUGCGAGGAUGAUCAGUCACACGGGAACUAAGACACGGUCCAGAAUCCUACGUGAGGCAGCAGUGGGAAAGAUUGGACAAGGGGCGAAAGCCUGAUACAGCCAUGCCGAGUGUGUGAAGAAGGUCUUCGGAUUGUAGAGAAUUUUAAGUUGGGAGGCGUUACCAAAAGAAUAAGAACCGGCUAACUACGUGCCAGCCGCCGCGGUAAUUC
rnacentral:rRNA from 1 species